rnacentral:rRNA from 1 species
UACGUAGGGUGCAAGCGUUGUCCGGAAUUAUUGGGCGUAAAGAGCUCGUAGGCGGUCUGUCGCGUCGGCUGUGAAAACUCGGGGCUCAACCCCGAGCCUGCAGUCGAUACGGGCAGACUAGAGUGCGGUAGGGGAGAUUGGAAUUCCUGGUGUAGCGGUGAAAUGCGCAGAUAUCAGGAGGAACACCGGUGGCGAAGGCGGGUCUCUGGGCCGAAACUGACGCUGAGGAGCGAAAGCGUGGGGAGCAAACAGG